rnacentral:piRNA from 1 species
UUAUUUUUUCACUUGAAUAAA